UACGUAGGGGGCAAGCGUUGUCCGGAAUCAUUGGGCGUAAAGAGCGUGUAGGCGGUUCAGUAAGUCUGCUGUGAAAGUCCAAGGCUCAACCUUGGGAUGCCGGUGGAUACUGCUGAGCUAGAGUACGGAAGAGGCGAGUGGAAUUCCCGGUGUAGCGGUGAAAUGCGCAGAUAUCGGGAGGAACACCUAUUGCGAAGGCAGCUCGCUGGGACGUCACUGACGCUGAGACGCGAAAGCGUGGGGAGCGAACAGG
rnacentral:rRNA from 1 species